CUGGCUCCUGCAUAGUAUGGGUUCUCUCAACCUUCUUCUACAAAAGGUCUCAAUUCUGCCAAACACUAGCUCAGUCAGUUAGUGUGAGAGGAAAAUGGAUAUAUGCCAAUAUACAGGGGCUGAAAUUGAAACACUGACAUCCUCUCAUGCUGAGCCAGGAAAACAAGGUGUGUAAAUGUCUAUGAGUUCCAUGUUAAGUGAACAAGAUAUGAGCAGAGUAUAAGGACAGGUAACAUUCUUUGCAUGGCACUGUAGGCACCUAAACCCACACAAUGAUAGCAUAGAUGUGCCUCCCUUUGGAUAGCCAAACCAAACUAGCCUAGUCUUACGUUAAAUAGCCAAAAUGUUUUAUAUAUUAAUCGGUCUGGUAGUAUUACAAGCAGUGAUAACACCCAAGGCAAGUUUUAUUGUAAAUCCACACUAAACUUGCACUUUAUGCAUGGAAACAGUAUAUUUAGAAGUACAUGUUUAAAAGCAUUUUGAUGGAGAAGAAUCUGGGCUCAGCCCCAAAUGAUAAACAGUCCAGCUAAUGCCCCUGGUGUACUCCCAGGAAGGCAAUCCAAAGAUCACUUUAGGUUAUGUUGGCUCGAAUUUAGCCUAUUACCCAAAAACAUUUAAAACUCAACUUAGAAGCCAAUACUCACAUCUACCUCUGAGCCCAGUUGGAGAUAGAAAAAACACACCAGCCGUGAGUGAGAAGAAGCAAGGGUCCAGCUUUAUUGUUUCAUUCCACCACACGAGAUCCACACCGAUGAGAAUUCUCAAAAGUGAUCCCCCAUACCCUGAGCUUAAGCUCCAGUAUUUAUACUGUAUUUACACACUAGAUAACCCAUAGGUUUCCAGAAAAGGCCUAUUUCACUUACCCAUAGAAUUGAAACCAGGGG